rnacentral:rRNA from 1 species
UACGUAGGUGGCAAGCGUUACUCGGAAUCACUAGGCGUAAAGCGCAGGUAGGCGGUUCGGUAAGUCUGUUGUGAAAGCUCCCGGCUCAACUGGGAGAGGUCAACGGAAACUGCCGAGCUUGAGUGUGGUAGAGGUAGCUGGAAUUCCCGGUGUAGCGGUGAAAUGCGUAGAUAUCGUAAGGAAGACCAGUGGCGAAGGCGGGUCUCUGGACAGUUCCUGACACUGAGGCACGAAGGCCAGGGGAGCAAACGGG